rnacentral:rRNA from 1 species
UUAAGCGACUAAGCGUACACGGUGGAUGCCCUGGCAGUCAGAGGCGAUGAAGGACGUGCUAAUCUGCGAUAAGCGUCGGUGAGGUGAUAUGAACCGUUAUAACCGGCGAUUUCCGAAUGGGGAAACCCAGUGUGAUUCGUCACACUAUCAUUAACUGAAUCCAUAGGUUAAUGAGGCGAACCGGGGGAACUGAAACAUCUAAGUACCCCGAGGAAAAGAAAUCAACCGAGAUUCCCCCAGUAGCGGCGAGCGAACGGGGAGGAGCCCAGAGCCUGAAUCAGUGUGUGUGUUAGUGGAAGCGUCUGGAAAGGCGCGCGAUACAGGGUGACAGCCCCGUACACAAAAAUGCACAUACUGUGAGCUCGAUGAGUAGGGCGGGACACGUGGUAUCCUGUCUGAAUAUGGGGGGACCAUCCUCCAAGGCUAAAUACUCCUGACUGACCGAUAGUGAACCAGUACCGUGAGGGAAAGGCGAAAAGAACCCCGGCGAGGGGAGUGAAAAAGAACCUGAAACCGUGUACGUACAAGCAGUGGGAGCCUCUUAAUGGGGUGACUGCGUACCUUUUGUAUAAUGGGUCAGCGACUUAUAUUCUGUAGCAAGGUUAACCGAAUAGGGGAGCCGAAGGGAAACCGAGUCUUAACUGGGCGUUAAGUUGCAGGGUAUAGACCCGAAACCCGGUGAUCUAGCCAUGGGCAGGUUGAAGGUUGGGUAACACUAACUGGAGGACCGAACCGACUAAUGUUGAAAAAUUAGCGGAUGACUUGUGGCUGGGGGUGAAAGGCCAAUCAAACCGGGAGAUAGCUGGUUCUCCCCGAAAGCUAUUUAGGUAGCGCCUCGUGAAUUCAUCUCCGGGGGUAGAGCACUGUUUCGGCAAGGGGGUCAUCCCGACUUACCAACCCGAUGCAAACUGCGAAUACCGGAGAAUGUUAUCACGGGAGACACACGGCGGGUGCUAACGUCCGUCGUGAAGAGGGAAACAACCCAGACCGCCAGCUAAGGUCCCAAAGUCAUGGUUAAGUGGGAAACGAUGUGGGAAGGCCCAGACAGCCAGGAUGUUGGCUUAGAAGCAGCCAUCAUUUAAAGAAAGCGUAAUAGCUCACUGGUCGAGUCGGCCUGCGCGGAAGAUGUAACGGGGCUAAACCAUGCACCGAAGCUGCGGCAGCGACACUAUGUGUUGUUGGGUAGGGGAGCGUUCUGUAAGCCUGUGAAGGUGGCCUGUGAGGGUUGCUGGAGGUAUCAGAAGUGCGAAUGCUGACAUAAGUAACGAUAAAGCGGGUGAAAAGCCCGCUCGCCGGAAGACCAAGGGUUCCUGUCCAACGUUAAUCGGGGCAGGGUGAGUCGACCCCUAAGGCGAGGCCGAAAGGCGUAGUCGAUGGGAAACAGGUUAAUAUUCCUGUACUUGGUGUUACUGCGAAGGGGGGACGGAGAAGGCUAUGUUGGCCGGGCGACGGUUGUCCCGGUUUAAGCGUGUAGGCUGGUUUUCCAGGCAAAUCCGGAAAACCAAGGCUGAGGCGUGAUGACGAGGCACUACGGUGCUGAAGCGACAAAUGCCCUGCUUCCAGGAAAAGCCUCUAAGCAUCAGGUAACAUCAAAUCGUACCCCAAACCGACACAGGUGGUCAGGUAGAGAAUACCAAGGCGCUUGAGAGAACUCGGGUGAAGGAACUAGGCAAAAUGGUGCCGUAACUUCGGGAGAAGGCACGCUGAUAUGUAGGUGAAGCGACUUGCUCGUGGAGCUGAAAUCAGUCGAAGAUACCAGCUGGCUGCAACUGUUUAUUAAAAACACAGCACUGUGCAAACACGAAAGUGGACGUAUACGGUGUGACGCCUGCCCGGUGCCGGAAGGUUAAUUGAUGGGGUUAGCGGUAACGCGAAGCUCUUGAUCGAAGCCCCGGUAAACGGCGGCCGUAACUAUAACGGUCCUAAGGUAGCGAAAUUCCUUGUCGGGUAAGUUCCGACCUGCACGAAUGGCGUAAUGAUGGCCAGGCUGUCUCCACCCGAGACUCAGUGAAAUUGAACUCGCUGUGAAGAUGCAGUGUACCCGCGGCAAGACGGAAAGACCCCGUGAACCUUUACUAUAGCUUGACACUGAACAUUGAGCCUUGAUGUGUAGGAUAGGUGGGAGGCUUUGAAGUGUGGACGCCAGUCUGCAUGGAGCCGACCUUGAAAUACCACCCUUUAAUGUUUGAUGUUCUAACGUUGGCCCGUAAUCCGGGUUGCGGACAGUGUCUGGUGGGUAGUUUGACUGGGGCGGUCUCCUCCUAAAGAGUAACGGAGGAGCACGAAGGUUGGCUAAUCCUGGUCGGACAUCAGGAGGUUAGUGCAAUGGCAUAAGCCAGCUUGACUGCGAGCGUGACGGCGCGAGCAGGUGCGAAAGCAGGUCAUAGUGAUCCGGUGGUUCUGAAUGGAAGGGCCAUCGCUCAACGGAUAAAAGGUACUCCGGGGAUAACAGGCUGAUACCGCCCAAGAGUUCAUAUCGACGGCGGUGUUUGGCACCUCGAUGUCGGCUCAUCACAUCCUGGGGCUGAAGUAGGUCCCAAGGGUAUGGCUGUUCGCCAUUUAAAGUGGUACGCGAGCUGGGUUUAGAACGUCGUGAGACAGUUCGGUCCCUAUCUGCCGUGGGCGCUGGAGAACUGAGGGGGGCUGCUCCUAGUACGAGAGGACCGGAGUGGACGCAUCACUGGUGUUCGGGUUGUCAUGCCAAUGGCACUGCCCGGUAGCUAAAUGCGGAAGAGAUAAGUGCUGAAAGCAUCUAAGCACGAAACUUGCCCCGAGAUGAGUUCUCCCUGAGACUUAGAGUCUCCUGAAGGAACGUUGAAGACGACGACGUUGAUAGGCCGGGUGUGUAAGCGCAGCGAUGCGUUGAGCUAACCGGUACUAAUGAACCGUGAGGCUUAACCUU